rnacentral:rRNA from 1 species
UACGGGGGGGGCAAGCGUUGUUCGGAAUUACUGGGCGUAAAGGGCUCGUAGGCGGCCAACUAAGUCAGACGUGAAAUCCCUCGGCUUAACCGGGGAACUGCGUCUGAUACUGGAUGGCUUGAGUUUGGGAGAGGGAUGCGGAAUUCCAGGUGUAGCGGUGAAAUGCGCAGAUAUCAGGAGGAACACCGAUGGCGAAGGCAGGUCUCUGGGCCAUUACUGACGCUGAGAAGCGAAAGCAUGGGGAGCGAACAGG